GGUUGACCUCGGAUCAGGCAGGGAUACCCGCUGACUA
rnacentral:rRNA from 1 species